rnacentral:rRNA from 1 species
UACGUAGGGCGCAAGCGUUGUCCGGAAUUAUUGGGCGUAAAGAGCUCGUAGGUGGUGUGUCGCGUCUGCCGUGAAAGCCCGGGGCUUAACUCCGGGUCUGCGGUGGAUACGGGCAGACUAGAGGCAGGUAGGGGAGAACGGAAUUCCCGGUGUAGCGGUGAAAUGCGCAGAUAUCGGGAGGAACACUGGUGGCGAAGGCGGUUCUCUGGGCCUGUACUGACGCUGAGGAGCGAAAGCGUGGGGAGCGAACAGG